ensembl:lncRNA
CUCAGAGCUGUCUGGAACAAGCCACACGGUUGUGGUGCAGGGUUGUUACCUGUGAAGCCCUCGUGUUGAACCGCAACUUCUCGUGGCCAGCUGUGUGAGGACAGCUGGACAGGAUCCUGUUCAUCAGAAGUCAAGUGGGUCUCAUGUGGCAGUUUUUGUUGUUCUGACUAUGACUGUCAAAUGAGGAUGUUCAACGAGCACACUUGCAGAGGGUGUUGGCCGGGACAGCAAAGUACUCACAAGUCGGUAUGCCUGCACUUACCUGAAAUGUCCGUAAUGAUUUCAAGAUUCAACAGAGUGGAAUGAAAACUAUUUUGUCAUGGCAGUCCUUAAAAACAUUUUGAAAUUUUCUUUCCUGCAUAGAUUUGGUAGGGGGAUAGUAGGCUUAUUUAAUAACACUGUAGAUUUUCAGAAAUUGAUUAAACAUCAGCUGUGAAGAAAACCAAUACACAUUAAAGUAAAAUGAAGUUCAAUUUUGCUUAACAUUCACAAGUAGGAUGAGAAAAUUAGUGCUUAAGAUAAAAGGAAUACAUUCUUAAAUGAUAGUUAAAUCAAUUUCUUACUAAAAUUCAAAGAAUGACCGCUUCAUGUGCAAGAGGAAUAAUUUCUUUUCAUGGUUUUCCUUGCCUUACAAAUACUUCUGUUUAGAAUCUUAUUACCAUCCACAAAGAAGUACAGUCAUUCACCAGACAAACUGGAGAAAUUGCUAUUCUUAUGAGACCCUAGGACAAACCUGAUAGAAGAAGCACCAGCAUGCAGAAACCCAGUGCAAACUCCCUUUUCUUC